ACUUUCAACAAUGGAUCUCUUGGCUCUGGCAUCGAUGAAGAACGCAGCGAAAUGCGAUAAGUAAUGUGAAUUGCAGAAUUCAGUGAAUCAUCGAAUCUUUGAACGCACAUUGCGCCCUCUGGUAUUCCGGAGGGCAUGCCUGUUUGAGUGUC
rnacentral:rRNA from 1 species